rnacentral:rRNA from 1 species
UACGAAGGGGGCUAGCGUUGCUCGGAAUCACUGGGCGUAAAGGGCGCGUAGGCGGAUCUUUAAGUCGGGGGUGAAAGCCCAGGGCUCAACCCUGGAAUUGCCUUCGAUACUGAAGAUCUCGAGACCAGAAGAGGUAAGUGGAACUGCGAGUGUAGAGGUGAAAUUCGUAGAUAUUCGCAAGAACACCAGUGGCGAAGGCGGCUUACUGGUCCGGUUCUGACGCUGAGGCGCGAAAGCGUGGGGAGCAAACAGG